rnacentral:rRNA from 1 species
GACGAACGCUGGCGGCGUGCUUAACACAUGCAAGUCGAACGGAAAGGCCCUGCUUUUGUGGGGUGCUCGAGUGGCGAACGGGUGAGUAACACGUGAGUAACCUGCCCUUGACUUUGGGAUAACUUCAGGAAACUGGGGCUAAUACCGGAUAGGAGCUCCUGCUGCAUGGUGGGGGUUGGAAAGUUUCGGCGGUUGGGGAUGGACUCGCGGCUUAUCAGCUUGUUGGUGGGGUAGUGGCUUACCAAGGCUUUGACGGGUAGCCGGCCUGAGAGGGUGACCGGCCACAUUGGGACUGAGAUACGGCCCAGACUCCUACGGGAGGCAGCAGUGGGGAAUAUUGCACAAUGGGCGGAAGCCUGAUGCAGCAACGCCGCGUGCGGGAUGACGGCCUUCGGGUUGUAAACCGCUUUCGCCUGUGACGAAGCGUGAGUGACGGUAAUGGGUAAAGAAGCACCGGCUAACUACGUGCCAGCAGCCGCGGUGAUACGUAGGGUGCGAGCGUUGUCCGGAUUUAUUGGGCGUGAAGGGCUCGUAGGUGGUUGAUCGCGUCGGAAGUGUAAUCUUGGGGCUUAACCCUGAGCGUGCUUUCGAUACGGGUUGACUUGAGGAAGGUAGGGGAGAAUGGAAUUCCUGGUGGAGCGGUGGAAUGCGCAGAUAUCAGGAGGAACACCAGUGGCGAAGGCGGUUCUCUGGGCCUUUCCUGACGCUGAGGAGCGAAAGCGUGGGGAGCGAACAGGCUUAGAUACCCUGGUAGUCCACGCUGUAAACGGUGGGUACUAGGUGUGGGGUCCAUUCCACGGGUUCCGUGCCGUAGCUAACGCUUUAAGUACCCCGCCUGGGGAGUACGGCCGCAAGGCUAAAACUCAAAGGAAUUGACGGGGCCCCGCACAAGCGGCGGAGCAUGCGGAUUAAUUCGAUGCAACGCGUAGAACCUUACCUGGGUUUGACAUGGAUCGGGAGCGCUCAGAGAUGGGUGUGCCUCUUUUGGGGUCGGUUCACAGGUGGUGCAUGGCUGUCGUCAGCUCGUGUCGUGAGAUGUUGGGUUAAGUCCCGCAACGAGCGCAACCCUUGUUCACUGUUGCCAGCACGUUAUGGUGGGGACUCAGUGGAGACCGCCGGGGUCAACUCGGAGGAAGGUGGGGAUGACGUCAAGUCAUCAUGCCCCUUAUGUCCAGGGCUUCACGCAUGCUACAAUGGCUGGUACAGAGAGUGGCGAGCCUGUGAGGGUGAGCGAAUCUCGGAAAGCCGGUCUCAGUUCGGAUUGGGGUCUGCAACUCGACCUCAUGAAGUCGGAGUCGCUAGUAAUCGCAGACCAGCAACGCUGCGGUGAAUACGUUCCCGGG